rnacentral:rRNA from 1 species
GAUGAACGCUGGCGGCGUGCCUAAUACAUGCAAGUCGAGCGAACAGAUGAGGAGCUUGCUCCUCUGACGUUAGCGGCGGACGGGUGAGUAACACGUGGAUAACCUACCUAUAAGACUGGGAUAACUUCGGGAAACCGGAGCUAAUACCGGAUAAUAUAUUGAACCGCAUGGUUCAAUAGUGAAAGACGGUUUUGCUGUCACUUAUAGAUGGAUCCGCGCCGCAUUAGCUAGUUGGUAAGGUAACGGCUUACCAAGGCAACGAUGCGUAGCCGACCUGAGAGGGUGAUCGGCCACACUGGAACUGAGACACGGUCCAGACUCCUACGGGAGGCAGCAGUAGGGAAUCUUCCGCAAUGGGCGAAAGCCUGACGGAGCAACGCCGCGUGAGUGAUGAAGGUCUUCGGAUCGUAAAACUCUGUUAUUAGGGAAGAGCAUAUGUGUAAGUAACUGUGCACAUCUUGACGGUACCUAAUCAGAAAGCCACGGCUAACUACGUG